UGGCAUCUAUUUGACAAACCUGCAGCAGUUGUUUAUCUGCUGCCUUGGUUCACUACAGAUGCAAGAAAAAGAAGUCCCUGCGCUUUCUGCCUGUCUGAUGUGGCAGCCCAGAUUGAAGGAGGGAAUACAGGA